rnacentral:tRNA from 1 species
GGAGGUGUAGUUCAGUGGUAGAGUGCUUGCCUGGCAUGCUCUAGGCCCUGGGUUUGAUCCCCAGCACCACAA